AAGUCGUAACAAGGUUUCCGUUAAUACCUAGCGGAUAAAAGGCACUGUGAAAAGCAGUUGUCUAGUUGCAGAGGCAGCUCUGCAGCGACAGAAUCAAAUUGCGGCAAAGUCCUUAGAGCUCAUUUCCACCAAGCUGAACUGGCAACAGUUCAGUGGCCGCGUGCAGUACACGUGGGUAUGGUAACAGUGAAAUGAGAUUGGAUCAGCGCGCAGCUAAGUCCGGAUAUCUUGGUUCUC
rnacentral:misc_RNA from 1 species